rnacentral:ncRNA from 21 species
CUCUUAUCAAGAGAGGUGGAGGGAUGUGCCCAAUGAAGCCCGGCAACCGUCAGCGCAUGUGCUGAAAUGGUGCCAAUUCACACAAAGCGGCCUGCUUUGAGAGAUAAGAG